UACAGAGGUGGCAAGCGUUGUUCGGAAUUACUGGGCGUAAAGGGCGAGUAGGCGGCUUUUUAAGUCAGACGUGAAAUCCCCCGGCUUAACCUGGGAACUGCGUCUGAUACUGGAUGGCUAGAGUAUGGGAGAGGGAUGUGGAAUUCCAGGUGUAGCGGUGAAAUGCGUAGAUAUCUGGAGGAACGCCGGUGGCGAAGGCGGCAUCCUGGACCAUUACUGACGCUGAACCGCGAAAGCUAGGGGAGCAAACGGG
rnacentral:rRNA from 1 species